GGGCACGUAGCUCAGUCUGGAUAGAGCGUCGGACUUCUAAUCCGACGGUCGCGGGUUCGAAUCCCGUCGUGCCCG
rnacentral:tRNA from 1 species